CUCUAGUCUUGUUAGACUUGGAAUAUAUUCUUAACCCAAUAUCCAAAAUAUCUGGCAGGGAUUCGGGCGUUUCCUGUUUUUGAGAUUGGCGGCAAGGCAAGAAAGCUCCUAAUAUUUGUUGUCGGAUUCCUUAUUCUCUUCUUUCUUUGUUGAAACCUUCCAUUUCCUUUCAACUGUUUCCUUACUAUUUCCUUUUUUGGGUGGCAUGAAGUUAUCCCAUCUGAAGCCAAAAUCCAGUCAUUUGCUUCUCUCUUUGCCAAAAUUUGGAAUUCUAGGACGGAAAAAGGUUCGUCUAGUGCAUUUUGUGCGGUAAAAUCCAAUCUUUUUUUAUUUUUGCCCCGGAAAUUUGGGACUCUAGUUCUCGUUUCUAAAGGAAAGACUGCCCCUUUUCGUUCAUCUCAGCCGUUACACCAUUCAGGCAAAAUCAAAUCUUUUCCUUUUUUUUCCUGGAAUUUUGGCUUUUGGGUUUUCAUUUUCUGACGGAAGGUUGCCCCUUUCGGUGAAUGCACUGGAUUUGAACUGUUUCUGAUAAGCGUUUCGCAGCGCUUUGGGAGUUUUUGGUUGAAGAGAUUGAUGAGGGUUGGGUUGAAUUAAAGAGGUUUCCUUCUUUCUAUUUAGAGGAGGUUGCUUCUCUUAUGUUGCUCUUUUCUGGGUCAGACUUAUCUCUUAUCUGUUAAUCCUCAAGAAAUUUUGAUGAGGGUUUGCUCCUGCAACUGCCGUUGCCCAUUCAUCUGCUUCUUUAAGCCAUCACAACCUCGCCAUUGCUUGACUAGCCCUCCGAAAUCGGAUGAUGCAGGGCAUGCUUCCUCGAUCCCAAUACCGAUUUCUGCGGUUUUGGAGGAGAAGUCAUUCGAUGCGAAGGUUGAGGAUGAGCAGACUAGAGAGGAUGAGGGAAAAGUUGAGGUCUUUCUCAAGAGCAGUCUAAAGAAGCCGGCGGCUUCUGGUUCGAACAAAGUUGAAAAGGGGAAUGUAAAGUGGAUGGAUCUCUUGGGGAAAGAACUUGACGAGAUAAGGGAAUUCGAACCUAAUGAAUCAGGAGAAGAGGAUAGUGAUAGCAAACCAGCUUAUACCUGUGCUAUUCAAUGAGCCAAUGAAUUGGAAAUUCUUUGGGGAAAAGGCCAAGGAGCCACUCCUAUUCAGCAGCUAAGGUGAAAAGAGGAAAAGAGGCCUCAAAAACUUUUAACUUUGUUUGGGGAAUCUCCAUGUACAGCUCCAACUGAAACUUGUUAAGCUAUCGAGCAGCAUGUGCCUUUUGUGCUGUGAAAUGCUCUGCCUGUCUCAAGUAGAUUCCAAUGCCAUUCUAGCACUUGCUAUUGAUCACUUGGAUAUCCAGCUCCAGUUGGGAAUCAUAAACAUUUCAUAUGUGAAAGUUAGACUAUUUAGUUUGGGAUUUCUUGCUGAUUUUUGCAUUAAUGAUGCUUGUUCUGUCGAUUGAUUGUGCCAUAAGGUUUAUUCAAUUCUGUACAUUAUGUUUACAUUUAUUUGUUUUUUUUAUCCCUCUC